UACAGAGGGUGCAAGCGUUAAUCGGAUUUACUGGGCGUAAAGCGCGCGUAGGCGGCUAAUUAAGUCAAAUGUGAAAUCCCCGAGCUUAACUUGGGAAUUGCAUUCGAUACUGGUUAGCUAGAGUGUGGGAGAGGAUGGUAGAAUUCCAGGUGUAGCGGUGAAAUGCGUAGAGAUCUGGAGGAAUACCGAUGGCGAAGGCAGCCAUCUGGCCUAACACUGACGCUGAGGUGCGAAAGCAUGGGGAGCAAACA
rnacentral:rRNA from 1 species